rnacentral:rRNA from 1 species
UACGCAGGGUGCAAGCGUUAAUCGGAAUUACUGGGCGUAAAGCGUGCGCAGGCGGUUUUGUAAGUCUGUCGUGAAAUCCCCCGGGCUCAACCUGGGAAUUGCGAUGGAGACUGCAAGGCUAGAAUCUGGCAGAGGGGGGGUAGAAUUCCACGUGUAGCAGUGAAAUGCGUAGAGAUGUGGAGGAACACCGAUGGCGAAGGCAGCCCCCCUGGGUCAAGAUUGACGCUCAUGCACGAAAGCGUGGGGAGCAAACAGG